rnacentral:rRNA from 1 species
GACAGAGGGUGCAAACGUUUGUUCGGAAUUACUGGGCGUAAAGCGCGUGUAGGCUGCUUGGAAAGUCGGAUGUGAAAGCCCUGGGCUCAACCUAGGAAGUGCAUUCGAAACUUCUGAGCUUGAGUAUCGGAGAGGAAGGCGGAAUUCUCGGUGUAGAGGUGAAAAUGCGUAGAUAUCUGGAGGAAUACCGGUGGCGAAGGCGGCAUCCUGGACCGGCAUUGACGCUGAGUGAGCGAAAAGCCAGGGGAGCAAACGGGGA